UGAAGCACCUUGAAGUGCCAUGAUCAAGAAGGUGGUUUCCCCAGGGUGAGGCUCUUCAAUUGCACUUCAGUUAGGAUAACCCGUGUAAUAUCCCCAAAUAUGGGAACUCAGCAUCACAGUUUAUGGAAGUGUGGGUCUGCAUUUGCACUGCCCCUGA